GGGCACCUUCGGGGGCCUAUAACAGCGGUGGGCCUUACACCCACCCGAUAUAGCGGGCCCAAGGGCGCGCAUUUGCAAACGGAAGACAGAAA
rnacentral:ncRNA from 1 species